GGAGGGCAGAAAUAUUUACGAACGGCUUGUGCAAGCUUGCUUGCUAAAAGCCGUUCGUAAAUAUUUCUAUCCGGCGUUUAGCCGAAGCGAGAUGAAGCGAAGCGGAAUCGAGCUUGCCCUUC
rnacentral:sRNA from 1 species